UACGGAGGGUGCAAGCGUUAUCCGGAUUCACUGGGUUUAAAGGGUGCGUAGGCGGGUAUGUAAGUCAGGGGUGAAAGCUCCGGGCUUAACUUGGAAACUGCCAUUGAUACUGUAUAUCUUGAAUGUCGUUGAGGUUAGCGGAAUGUUGCAUGUAGCGGUGAAAUGCUUAGAUAUGUUACAGAACACCAAUUGUGAAGACAGCUAACUAAGCGAUGAUUGACGCUGAGGCACGAAAGCGUGGGGAGCAAACAGG
rnacentral:rRNA from 1 species